rnacentral:rRNA from 1 species
CCUACGGGAGGCAGCAGUAGGGAAUUUUCGUCAAUGGGCGCAAGCCUGAACGAGCGAUGCCGCGUGAGUGAAGAAGGCCUUCGGGUCGUAAAGCUCUGUUGCGGGGGAAAAAAGGCAGCAUCAGGAAAUGGGUGCUGACUGCUGGUGCCCCGCCAGAAAGUCACGGCUAACUACGUGCCAGCAGCCGCGGUAAUACGGAGGUGGCGAGCGUGAUCCGGAAUGAUUGGGCGUAAAGGGCGCGCAGGCGUCCCUGCAAGCCUGGAGUGAAACGCAUGAGCUCAACUCAUGCAUGGCGUUGGAAACUGGAGGACUGGAGAGCAGGGGAGGGCGGUGGAACUGCAUGUGUAGCGGUAAAAGGCGUAGAUAUAUGGA